CCUAGCUGAGCCAUCUCCCCAGCUCAGAAACUAUGUUUCAGCAAAGAAUUUUUAGGAACCAGAAGUGAUGGCUCUGCAAU
rnacentral:miRNA from 1 species